UAGGGAAUCUUCCACAAUGGGCGAAAGCCUGAUGGAGCAACGCCGCGUGAGUGAUGAAGGCCUUCGGGUUGUAAAACUCUGUCAUUCGGGACGAACCGGAGUCUGAGGAAGUGCAGACUCUCUGACGGUACCGGAGGAGGAAGCCCCGGCUAACUACGUGCCAGCAGCCGCGGUAAUACGUAGGGGGCAAGCGUUGUCCGGAUUCACUGGGCGUAAAGCGCGCGCAGGCGGUGAUGUAAGUCUGAGGUGAAAACCCGAAGCUCAACUUCGGGACUGCCUUGGAUACUGCGUCACUUGAGGAUAGGAGAGGCAAGGGGAAUUCCACGUGUAGCGGUGAAAUGCGUAGAGAUGUGGAGGAACACCUGUGGCGAAGGCGCCUUGCUGGCCUAUUUCUGACGCUGAGGCGCGAAAGCGUGGGGAGCAAACAGG
rnacentral:rRNA from 1 species